GCGAGCGAAGCGGGAAGAGCUCAAAUUUGUAAUCUGGCACCUUCGGUGUCCGAGUUGUAAUCUCGAGAAGUGUUUUCCGCGCCAGACCGCAUACAAGUCUGUUGGAAUACAGCGUCAUAGUGGUGAGAACCCCGUAUAUGAUGCGGAUGCCUGGUGCUCUGUGAUACACUUUCGAAGAGUCGAGUUGUUUGGGAAUGCAGCUCAAAUUGGGUGGUAAAUUCCAUCUAAAGCUAAAUAUUGGCGAGAGACCGAUAGCGAACAAGUACCGUGAGGGAAAGAUGAAAAGCACUUUGGAAAGAGAGUUAACAGUACGUGAAAUUGUUGGAAGGGAAACGCUUGAAGUCAGACUUGCUAUUUGGAAUUCAGCCGCAAGGUGUAUUUUUCAAUUUGCAGGCCAGCAUCAGUUUUUGAGGAUGGAAAAGGAUUAAGAGAAGGUAGCAGUUUCGGCUGUGUUAUAGCUUUUAAUUGGAUUCAUCCUUGGGGACUGAGGAACGCAGCUUCGGCUUAGGAUGCUGGUGGAAUGGCUUUAAACGACCC
rnacentral:rRNA from 1 species